rnacentral:sRNA from 1 species
UUUAAUUAGUAGUAAGACCGCUAUGAGCUGCUCUAGAUAUUCCCAUCCAUCGGUUGGCAAAAGUCUAGGCACAACAAGCUCAUACGGCAUGCGAUAAAA